GUCCACGCCGUAAACGAUGAGAACUAGGUGUCGUGGGUUUUGACCCCCGCGGUGCCGUAGCUAACGCAUUAAGUUCUCCGCCUGGGAAGUACGGUCGCAAGAUUAAAAACUCAAAGGAAUUGACGGGGGCCCGCACAAGCGGUGGAGCAUGUGGUUUAAUUCGACGCAACGCGCAGAACCUUACCCAGACUUGACAUCCUGGAAAGACGGCCCAAAAAGCUGUUGUGCCCGCAAGGGAAUCCAGAGACAGGUGCUGCAUGGCUGUCGU
rnacentral:rRNA from 1 species